UACGAAGGGGGCUAGCGUUGCUCGGAAUCACUGGGCGUAAAGGGUGCGUAGGCGGGUCUUUAAGUCAGGGGUGAAAUCCUGGAGCUCAACUCCAGAACUGCCUUCGAUACUGAGGAUCUCGAGUCCGGGAGAGGUGAGUGGAACUGCGAGUGUAGAGGUGAAAUUCGUAGAUAUUGGCUGGAACACCGGUGGCGAAAGCGGCUCUCUGGCCCGGUUCUGACGCUGAGGCGCGAAAGCGUGGGGAGCAAACAGG
rnacentral:rRNA from 1 species